rnacentral:rRNA from 1 species
GAUUUCUGGUCUGACAUGCCUGGCCCGCCGGGGUUACCCGCGUGAGUGCCGGUGCGCGUCUACCAUCCUUCCGGAAAACGGCCUUACCCUUCACUGGGCCGAGGUCGCGAUCCGGAUCUUUUACUUUGAAAAAAUUAGAGUGUUUAAAGCAGGCUUUUGCUAUGAAUACAUUAGCAUGGAAUAAUAAUCUAGGACUUCGGUUCUAUUUUGUUGGUUUCUAUAACUGAAGUAAUGAUUGAUAGGGAUAGUUGGGGGUGCUAGUAUUGGCCGGCCAGAGGUGAAAUUCUUGGAUUCGGUCAAGACUAACUUAUGCGAAAGCAUU